rnacentral:rRNA from 1 species
AUUGAACGCUGGCGGCAUGCCUUACACAUGCAAGUCGAACGGUAACGGGCCUUCGGGUGCCGACGAGUGGCGAACGGGUGAGUAAUGCAUCGGAACGUACCUUUCAGUGGGGGAUAACGUAGCGAAAGUUACGCUAAUACCGCAUAUUCUGUGAGCAGGAAAGCAGGGGAUCGCAAGACCUUGCGCUGAUUGAGCGGCCGAUGUCAGAUUAGCUAGUUGGUGAGGUAAAGGCUCACCAAGGCGACGAUCUGUAGCGGGUCUGAGAGGAUGACUCCGCCACACGUAGGAACU